rnacentral:rRNA from 1 species
AAUGAACGCUGGCGGCAUGCCUAACACAUGCAAGUCGAACGAAAGCUUCGGGUCUAUGGGCCCACGGUUUCGUAACGCGUGGGAACCUUCACUUAUGGUCGGAAUACCUCUCCGACAGGGGUGCUAAUACCGGAUAAUAUCUUCUAACCAAAGAUAUAUUGCCCUUGGUUGGUCGCGCGUUGGAUUAGCUGGUUGUUAGGGUAAUAGCAUACGAAGGCGACGAUCCAUAGCUGGGAUGAGAGAAUGAUCAGCCACACUGGGAGUGAGAAACGGCCGGGAAUCCUACGGGAGGGAGGAGUGGGUGAUAGAGCAACAUGGGGGAAAUGAUGAACGAGCAAUGCCGGGUGAGUGAUGAAGGCCGUAGGGAAGUAAAGCUUUUUUAACCGGGAUGAUAAUGACAGUACCGGGAGAAUAAGCUACGGCUAACUACGUG